rnacentral:pre_miRNA from 1 species
GUAGUCGGAUUCGUAUCAAUCCACAUAUGUUGGGGUGAGUUGGAGUGGAACUUAAACUAAAUUCCACCCUAAUAUACUCGAAUACAUAUGGAUUGAGUUGAAUACGACA